rnacentral:snoRNA from 1 species
AAACCAUGUAUUGGCCAUUUUCUAAUUAACUCAUUGAAUCGCUCCCAUGCUUUAUAUAAUGUUUCAUCCUCAAAUUGUCGAAAAGACGUAAUAUCAUUCUUCAAUUU